CCCUGUAGUUCUUGCCUGGUUUCCCAUUGAAGUUAAGCAGGAUUGAGCCUGGCUAAUACCUGGAUAGGAGAGCUCCUGGGGAAAACUAAGGUUGCUGCUGGAA
rnacentral:rRNA from 1 species